rnacentral:lncRNA from 1 species
ACUUGAUAUAUUUGGAUAUUGUGGGGUAAAGUUCAUUGUUUUUUUUCUUCAUUAUUUUCUCAGAGACGCUUAACCCACAAAUAUGUUGGGGCAUUUUCCGUUUGGCAGUGAGGAAAGUCCUCUUAAUUUCUGAUCAUGCUUAUUGUUUUGGAAAAUUGAAUUCAUUCUCCUUUUUCAGACAUUGACGAAUGUUCACAAGCAAACAUGUGUCACGCUGACGCAACAUGUACUAAUACACCAGGAUCAUACCUAUGUACUUGCAACACUGGUUACACAGGCAAUGGAACGUCUUGCGUAGGCAAGUAAAGAACCAUAAAAUAAGUGAAUGAAAAUAUUAAACAGGAAAUGGGAAAAAUAAAUGAG